rnacentral:rRNA from 1 species
GCCGCAGUAUCUUGACUGUGCAAAGGUAGCAUAAUCAUUAGUUUUUUAAUUGAAAGCUGGAAUGAAUGGUCGGAUGAGGAAGUUUCUGUCUCAUUUUAAUUUUAUUUGAAUUUUAUUUUUAGGUUAAAAAGCUUAAAUUUUAUAAAAAGACGAGAAGACCCUAUAGAGUUUAAUGAAUUUGUAUAUCAAUUAUUUUAGGGUUGUAUUAUAAUUGUUUUAUAGUUCAUUUUGUUGGGGUGACAUAAGAAUUGGGUGAACUUCUUUUUGUAUAUACACUGAUUAGUGAAUAAUUGAUCCUGAUUUUUGGAUUACAAGAAUAAAUUACCUUAGGGAUAACAGCGUAAUCUUUUUGGAGAGUCCUAAUCGAUAAAAAGGAUUGCGACCUCGAUGUUGGAUUAAAGUUAAAUUUUGGUGUAGAAGCUAUAAUUUUG